AAGUAGUGAAGUAAUAAUUACGUUUAGUUUCGACCUAAAAUUAGGGUAAUUACCCCUUACUUA
rnacentral:tRNA from 1 species